rnacentral:rRNA from 1 species
AUUGAACGCUGGCGGCAUGCUUUACACAUGCAAGUCGAACGGUAACAGGCCUUCGGGUGCUGACGAGUGGCGAACGGGUGAGUAAUGCAUCGGAACGUGCCCAGAGGUGGGGGAUAACGCAGCGAAAGCUGUGCUAAUACCGCAUGUGAUCUGAGGAUGAAAGCGGGGGACCAGGCAGCAAUGUUUGGCCUCGCGCCUUUGGAGCGGCCGAUGUCAGAUUAGGUAGUUGGUGGGGUAAAGGCCUACCAAGCCGACGAUCUGUAGCUGGUCUGAGAGGACGACCAGCCACACUGGGACUGAGAAACGGCCCAGACUCCUACGGGAGGCAGCAGUGGGGAAUUUUGGACAAUGGGCGCAAGCCUGAUCCAGCAAUGCCGCGUGCGGGAAGAAGGCCUUCGGGUUGUAAACCGCUUUUGUACGGAACGAAAAGGCUCUGGCUAAUACCUGGGGCUGAUGACGGUACCGUAAGAAUAAGCACCGGCUAACUACGUG